GUGGGGAAUAUUGGACAAUGGGGGGAACCCUGAUCCAGCCAUGCCGCGUGUGUGAAGAAGGCCUUUUGGUUGUAAAGCACUUUAAGCGAGGAGGAGGCUUACCUGGUUAAUACCUAGGAUAAGUGGACGUUACUCGCAGAAUAAGCACCGGCUAACUCUGUGCCAGCAGCCGCGGUAAUACAGAGGGUGCGAGCGUUAAUCGGAUUUACUGGGCGUAAAGCGCGCGUAGGUGGUUAAUUAAGUCAAAUGUGAAAUCCCCGAGCUUAACUUGGGAAUUGCAUUCGAUACUGGUUGGCUAGAGUAUGGGAGAGGAUGGUAGAAUUCCAGGUGUAGCGGUGAAAUGCGUAGAGAUCUGGAGGAAUACCGAUGGCGAAGGCAGCCAUCUGGCCUAAUACUGACACUGAGGUGCGAAAGCAUGGGGAGCAAACAGGAUUAGAAACCCGUGUAGUCC
rnacentral:rRNA from 1 species